CUCCUGCCUUAUUAGGAAUGUCCCUACAAUUUAAUUGAUCACUGCAAGCUGGACAUUGGUCCAAGAUAAGCAGAUGCUGUCAUGUUAUUGAAGACUAGGUCACUAAGAUGUAUCCUGAAAAAUGAAGAUGGAGCAAUGGAGUCAUGAGCCAAGGAGUAUGGACCGCCUCUAGAUGCUAGGAAGGGCAAGAAAAUGCAUCAUUCCCUAGAACCUUGAGAAGGAAUUCAGCCCAUGCUGACACACUGAGUUUAGGACUUUUGAUCUCCAGAAUUAUAAGGCCUUGUUAUCUUAGAUACCUACAAAAGGAGUGCUUAUGGAAUUACCAGGCUAUUCUAAAGAAAAACAGAAAAAACAUGGCCAUUUGAUGGCAGCCCGUUUCACAUG